rnacentral:lncRNA from 1 species
CGUAGGUUUGGGACGUUUUGCACUGAGAGUUCCAGUGUUUGUCAUCGAUCCCCCUGCAACCGUUUUUGACUGGCCUGGCUUCUUUACAUCUCGUUUCAUAAAAAUAUUGUUUGACGGGAGAGUUGCCGGUUUUGAUCUCCCCCAGCACCGUGACCUGGUGUCCCCGAAUGUCAAUGGCCGACGACUUGUCGGUCACCCACAGACUCUCACUGUCACACACCGAGUACUCCCCUCGGUGACUCUUAUGCUCUGCAUACCGUUUCCGCCGUGACGUUCUGUUGGCCACCACGGGGUUGCCCACGUAAUCCUCCAUGAGAUACAAGGGAGGAGGCUCCAAGGGGGUACUGUCGCUUAGCAGGACUCGGGGGGAACUGUAGCGUCUCUGUUGUCGCAGCAGUUCGGUGUCUGUCGCAAUCAUUGGCUGGAAUUCU